rnacentral:rRNA from 1 species
AGGAUGAACGCUAGCUACAGGCUUAACACAUGCAAGUUGCAGGGUAACAUGAGAGAAGCUUGCUUUUCUUGAUGACGACUGGCGCACGGGUGAGUAACGCGUAUCCAACCUUCCCAUAACUACGGGAUAACCCGUUGAAAGACGGCCUAAUACCGUAUAACAUCGUUUGCAGACAUCUAACGACGAUUAAAGGUUUAGCGGUUAUGGAUGGGGAUGCGUCUGAUUAGCUUGUUGGCGGGGUAACGGCCCACCAAGGCGACGAUCAGUAGGGGUUCUGAGAGGAAGGUCCCCCACAUUGGAACUGAGACACGGUCCAAACUCCUACGGGAGGCAGCAGUGAGGAAUAUUGGUCAAUGGGCGAGAGCCUGAACCAGCCAAGUAGCGUGUAGGAUGACGGCCCUAUGGGUUGUAAACUACUUUUGUGUGGGGAUAAAGUGAGGCACGUGUGCCUUAUUGCAGGUACCACACGAAUAAGGACCGGCUAAUUCCGUGCCAGCAGCCGCGGUAAUACGGAAGGUCCAGGCGUUAUCCGGAUUUAUUGGGUUUAAAGGGAGCGUAGGCUGUCUGUUAAGCGUGUUGUGAAAUGUACUGGCUCAACCAGUGAAUUGCAGCGCGAACUGGCGGACUUGAGUAUGCAGGAAGUAGGCGGAAUUCAUGGUGUAGCGGUGAAAUGCUUAGAUAUCAUGACGAACUCCGAUUGCGAAGGCAGCUUACUGUAGCACAACUGACGCUUAGGCUCGAAAGUGCGGGUAUCAAACAGGAUUAGAUACCCUGGUAGUCCGCACGGUAAACGAUGGAUGCUCGCUAUUUGCGCAUUAGCGUAAGUGGCUUAGUGAAAACGUUAAGCAUCCCCACCUGGGGGAGUACGCCCGGGCAACGGUGAAACUCAAAGGAAUUUGACGGGGGCCCCGCACAAGCGGAGGAACAUGUGGUUUAAUUCGAUGAUACGCGAGGAAUCUUUACCUGGGCUUGAACUACAGGGAGAUGAUUCAGAGAUGAUGAAGUCCUUCGGGACUCCUGGUGGAGG